rnacentral:rRNA from 1 species
UACGUAUGGUGCAAGCGUUAUCCGGAUUUACUGGGUGUAAAGGGAGCGCAGGCGGCACGGCAAGCCUGAUGUGAAAGCCCGCGGCCCAACCGCGGGACUGCAUUGGGAACUACCGGGCUGGAGUGCCGGAGAGGUAGGCGGAAUUCCUAGUGUAGCGGUGAAAUGCGUAGAUAUUAGGAGGAACACCAAUGGCGAAGGCGGCCUACUGGACGGUGACUGACGCUGAGGCUCGAAAGCGUGGGGAGCAAACAGG